rnacentral:rRNA from 1 species
AUUGAACGCUGGCGGCAGGCCUAACACAUGCAAGUCGAACGGCAGCGGGGGGUAGCUUGCUACCCCGCCGGCGAGUGGCGGACGGGUGAGUAAUGCCUGGGGAGCUGCCCAAUCGAGGGGGAUACCAGUUGGAAACGACUGCUAAUACCGCAUACGCCCUGAGGGGGAAAGGUGGGGAUCUUCGGACCUAUCGCGAUUGGAUGCACCCAGGUGGGAUUAGCUAGUUGGUGAGGUAACGGCUCACCAAGGCGACGAUCUCUAGCUGGUCUGAGAGGAUGACCAGCCACGCUGGAACUGAGACACGGUCCAGACUCCUACGGGAGGCAGCAGUGGGGAAUAUUGCACAAUGGGGGAAACCCUGAUGCAGCCAUGCCGCGUGUGUGAAGAAGGCCUUCGGGUUGUAAAGCACUUUCAGCGAGGAGGAAAGGGUGGCAGCUAAUACCUUGUUUCAUUGACGUUACUGACAGAAGAAGCACCGGCUAACUCCGUGCCAGCAGCCGCCGCGG